rnacentral:rRNA from 1 species
GACGAACGCUGGCGGCGUGCUUAACACAUGCAAGUCGAGCGGUAAGGCCCUUUCGGGGUACGACGAGCGGCGAACGGGUGAGUAACACGUGGGUGACCUCGCCCUCCAGCUCUGGGAGUAAGCCCGGGAACGUAGGGUCGUAAUACCGGAUAUGACUCCAUGACGCAUGUUGUGGGGUGGAAAGCCUUGUGCGGCUGAGGAUGGGCCCGCGGCCUAUCAGCUUGUUGGGUGGGGUGAUGGCCUACCAAGGCGACGACGGGUAGCCGGCCUGAGAGGGCGACCGGCCACACUGGGACUGAGAUACGGCCCAGACUCCUACGGGAGGCAGCAGUGGGGAAUCUUGCGCAAUGGGCGAAAGCCUGACGCAGCGACGCCGCGUGAGGGAUGACGGCCU